UCCCUGGUAGUCUAGUGGUUAGGACUUGGCGCUUUCACCACUGUGGCCUGGGUUCAAUCCCUGAUCUGGGAA
rnacentral:tRNA from 1 species